GAUGAAGAACGUAGCGAAAUGCGAUAAGUAAUGUGAAUUGCAGAAUUCAGUGAAUCAUCGAGUCUUUGAACGCACAUUGCGCCCCCUGGUAUUCCGGGGGGCAUGCCUGUCCGAGCGUCAUUGCCGCCCUCAAGCACGGCUUGUGUGUUGGGCCCCCGCCCCCCGGCUUCGGGGGGCGGGCCCGAAAGGCAGCGGCGGCACCGCGUCCGGUCCUCGAGCGUAUGGGGCUUCGUCACCCGCUCUGUAGGCCCGGCCGGCGCCCGCCGGCGACCCCAAUCAAUCUUUCCAGGUUGACCUCAGAUCAGGUAGGGAUACCCGCUGAACUUAAGCAUAUCAAUAAGCGGAGGA
rnacentral:misc_RNA from 1 species